GGUUUUUUGAAUUUAAUGAAAAAUCUAGCCUGCCCAAUGAUAAUAUUUAAUGGCCGCAGUAUUUUGACUGUGCUAAGGUAGCAUAAUAAUUAGUCUUAUAAUUUAGGACUGGAAUGAAAGGUUGGACGAGGGAAACUCUGUGUCUAAAAAUAAACUUAAUUUGGUGUUUGUUGUGAAGAGGCAACAAAGUAGCUGAGGGACGAGAAGACCCUAUUGAGUUUUACAAAAAUUUUUUGAAAAAUUAUGAUAAGAAUAAGUAAUUUUUGGGAGGUUUGUGUUUUGCUGGGGCGGUGUUGAUUAGAUUUAAUCUUUUAAAAGUUAUGAGAUGAAUUUUUUACGUGGAGCCAGGGAUGAAGUUUCUUGAUAUGUGGAUUAAAUUACUAUAGGGAUAACAGCGUAAUAUUGUCGGAGAGUUCUUAUUGAUGACAGAUUUUGCGACCUCGAUGUUGAAUUAAAAUACCUACUUGGUGGAGGGACUAAGCAGAGGUGGUCUGUUCGACCAUUAAAAUUUUACA
rnacentral:rRNA from 1 species